CUUGCCUGUUUAAAAAGUGAGGAUAAUAAUUUAAAAAAAAAAAAGAGCCCAAGGAGAGAGGAAUCCUCUUAACAGAAGGAAGGAGGAGGGAACGAAUGGAGCAGAGGAGGAAACCUUCAGUGCUGGGCAGAAGGAAGCCUGUGGGGAGAGGCAGAACCAGCUUUGCAUGGGAACAACUCAUCCAAGGAGAGGAUCCAAAGGAGCAGGGAAUGCUGGUUUUAAUCUGCUUCCAUGGGCUGAAAUGACUCCUGUGUUCAAGCUGGCAUUACCGACAGGGAUACAACUGCAGUUUGGGUAUCAGCUCUCUGGGACCUGCAACCUGCCUGGCAAGGAAACAUCAUCAGCCCUCUUAUCUGCUCCUUGCCUGAAUUCUGCCUGGAUUUCUGACUGGUGAGGCUUAUUGGAAGCAGCAUCCCUGUGAGCAGGAGAGCAGCUGCUCU
rnacentral:lncRNA from 1 species